rnacentral:rRNA from 1 species
AGAACGAACGCUGGCGGCAGGCUUAACACAUGCAAGUCGAACGCCCCGCGAGGGGAGUGGCAGACGGGUGAGUAACGCGUGGGAAUCUACCCAGAACUUCGGAACAACUGAGGGAAACUUCAGCUAAUACCGGAUACGCCCUACGGGGGAAAGAUUUAUCGGUUCUGGAUGAGCCCGCGUUGGAUUAGCUAGUUGGUGGGGUAAUGGCCUACCAAGGCGACGAUCCAUAGCUGGUCUGAGAGGAUGAUCAGCCACACUGGGACUGAGACACGGCCCAGACUCCUACGGGAGGCAGCAGUGGGGAAUAUUGGACAAUGGGCGAAAGCCUGAUCCAGCCAUGCCGCGUGAGUGAUGAAGGCCUUAGGGUUGUAAAGCUCUUUCAGUAGGGAAGAUAAUGACGGUACCUACAGAAGAAGCCCGGCUAACUUCGUGCCAGCAGCCGC